rnacentral:rRNA from 1 species
GACGUAGGGGGCCAGCGUUGUUCGGAAUUACUGGGUGUAAAGGGUUCGUAGGCGGUGCGGCAAGUCGGGAGUGAAAUCUCUGGGCUUAACCCAGAGGCUGCUUCCGAAACUGCUGUGCUUGAGUGUGGGAGAGGCGCGUGGAAUUGCAGGUGUAGCGGUGAAAUGCGCAGAUAUCAGGAGGAACACCAAUGGCGAAGGCAGCACUCUGGGACGUGACUGACGCUGAGACGCGAAAGCGUGGGGAGCAAACAGG